GAGAUAGUGAGUUCAGUUAGUGAGGAAAUCCUGCUCACUAGUACUUGCCAGUUGGUCUGAUGACUGCGAAGAUGCCUUCAACCUAUAUGUGCCUCUUCUUCCUCGUUCUUCUAGGAGUCUCUAAUGCAGACAACAUCAAUAGUUCCUUCAGUCUCUCUGAUGAAACCCCUUCAACAACUGCUAUUACAAGCGAGGCCAUAAACAGGACAGAUAGUUUCAGCCUUAACGCCAGCACUCCGAGAAAUAACGCCGAGGUGGAAACAGCUGAAACGCAAACAGCAGCAGCACCAACAGCAACAACAAGAGCAGCAACAAGAGCAGCAACAACAGCAGCACCAGCCAGUCAGACCACAUCGAAAGUCACCACCAGGCCGAGCUUCAUGAGCACCACCACCGCAGCACUAAAAACUACCAAGUCCAUUGCUCCUGUUUCCAGGCGAGCAUCUACCACCAAGAGUACAGAAUACAAAAAGAAUAACAGCCAUUAUGGAUAUGUGAUUUUAGUUGUUAUCAUAAUUGUCAUCUUCAUCGUGAUACUGAGUUUCUUCAUUUGCAAUAAGAAAAAGCAAUAUUCGCUUAAUUCCCAAAAUGCACCCCAAGAGGAUACUGGUAUCCCAUUAAAUGCUAUGGAUCAAGAGGCCUUUGAAUCUGUGUCACCUAAAGAGCCGAAAACAAUUGUCACCAACGAGACAGAGGCUGCUCCUGAGAGACCCAAAUCGGAGGCUGGAGGAGAGAAGCCAGAGGAAGACAAAAGGAAUCCAGCAAAUUCCACCGGGAAGGACAGCACCAGCUCCCAAGCACACCUGAUCAGCACUGACAUGCCUGAGGAGCGGCUGCUGAAUGUGAAGCAGAUGGACACAGAUGUCUCUAACCAGACCUCUGUGGAGUCCCUGAAAGACCAAAUGGUUGAGAACAGCAAAAGCAACACAGGGAAUGCCAUUGCCACUGAGGUGCCCACUGUCAGGGAGCAGACUGACAGCUUCUCUGAGGUCCAGCUGAAUGAGCCUGUAUAGACACUGUCCAUCCAGGGACUGCCUCAAGACGAAUUAUGAAAUGAAGCCUGAAAGACCAUGCCAAAUGGAAACCACACCAAAGUGCAAGCAUGUCUGAGGGCCAACAUCCCACAAGACGUCCCUUGGUCAAGGGGAUAUGCCACAGUUAUUUCAACACAUUGCCAUUUCAUGCAAUCCCCUAGCAAGACUUUAUUUCACUUCUGUGUCCCUGCUUGAUUAUGCAAAAGUAGAUUUCAAAGCUUAAAUCUUAAAGCCAAAGGCAGGGCAUUUAUGAGUGAGGAAGUUCUUGAAGACCCCACAAAAGGCCAUUUCUGAACAGUAUUAAUGAUGCUUCGCCUGCUUUUGCAACCAUAUUCAUUUAAUGCAGCUUUUUAAACCUGAAAUAUUAUCAGUGACCCAGUAUUUAUAAUUUGUUUUUUUUCCAACUAAAAUGUAUUAAAUCAUGGUUUCCCACAAUUUAUCAUGUCCUACAGCAC
rnacentral:lncRNA from 1 species